rnacentral:tRNA from 1 species
UAGAAUAUGGUGUAAUUAGGGUAGCACGAAGAAUUUUGAAUUCUUAAGAGUGGGUUCGAUUCCUAUGAUUCUAG